AAAGUUCGAUCCUGGCUCAGAUUGAACGCCUGGCGGAUGCUUUACACAUGCAAGUCGAACGGCAGCACGGACUUCGGUCUGGUGGCGAGUGGCGAACGGGUGAGUAAUGUAUCGGAACCGUGCCUAGUGGAAGGGGGAUAACUACGCGAAAGCGUAGCAAUUACCGCAUACCCUUCGGGGGAAAGCGGGGGACCUCAAUCCGCACCAUUAGAGCGGCCGAUAUCGGAUUAGCUAGUUGGUGGGGUAACGGCUCACCAAGGCGACGAUCCGUAGCUGGUUUGAGAGGACGACCAGCCACACUGGGACUGAGACACGGCCCAGACUCCUACGGGAGGCAGCAGUGGGGAAUUUUGGACAAUGGGGAAAUCCCUGAUCCAGCCAUCCCGCGUGCGAUGAAGGCCUUCGGGUUGUAAAGCACUUUUGGCAGGAAAGAAACGGCACGGACACUACCCCGUGCAACUGACGGUACCUGCAGAAUAAGCACCGGCCAAUUACGUGCCAGCAGCCGCGGUAAUACGUAGGGUGCAAGCGUUAAUCGGAAUUACUGGGCGUAAAAGCGUGUGCAGGCGGUUCGAAAAAGAAAGAUGUGAAAUCCCAGAGCUUAACUUUGGAAAACUGCAUUUUUAACUACCGAGCCAGAGGUGUCAGAGGGAGGUGGAAUUCGCGUAGCAGUGAAAUGCGUAGAUAUGCGGAGAACACCGGAUGGCGAAGGCAGCCUCCGGGAUAACACUGACGCUCAUGCACGAAAGUGUGGGGGAGCAAACAGGAUUAGAUACUCCCGUAGUCCACGCCCUAAACGAUGUCAACUAGCUGUUGGGGCCUUCGGGCCUUGGUAGCGCAGCUAACGCGUGAAGUUGACCGCCUGGGGAGUACGGUCGCAAGAUUAAAACUCAAAAAGGAAUUGACGGGGACCCGCACAAGCGGUGGAUGAUGUGGAUUAAUUCGAUGCAACGCGAAAACCUUACCUACCCUUGACAUGUCUGGAAUCCCGAAGAGAUUUGGGAGUGCUCGCAAGAGAACCGGAACACAGGUGCUGCAUGCUUAUUGCCGUCAGCUCGUGUCGUGAGAUGUUGGGUUAAGUCCCGCAACGAGCGCAACCCUUGUCAUUAGUUGCUACGAAAGGGCACUCUAAUGAGACCGCCGGUGACAAACCGAGGAAGGUGGGGAUGACGUCAAGUCCUCAUGGCCCUUAUGGGUAGGGCUUCACACGUCAUACAAUGGUCGGGACAGAGGGUCGCCAACCCGCGAGGGGGAGCCAAUCCCAGAAACCCGAUCGUAGUCCGGAUCGCAGUCUGCAACUCGACUGCGUGAAGUCGGAAUCGCUAGUAAUCGCGGAUCAGCAUGUCGCGGUGAAUACGUUCCCGGGUCUUGUACACACCGCCCGUCACACCAUGGGAGUGGGUUUUACCAGAAGUAGUUAGCCCAACCGUAAGGAGGGCGAUUACCACGGGUGGGAUUCAUGACUGGGGUGAAGUCGUAACAAGGUAG
rnacentral:rRNA from 1 species